AAGACAAAUAAAUAAUUUCAUCAAUGGCUACUUUACAACAUGGAGGAAGAAAACUGGACCAGAAAGUGGCGAUAAUCACAGGUGCUAGUUCAGGGAUAGGUAGAGCCACUGCUGUGUUGUUCUCACGCCUCGG
rnacentral:lncRNA from 1 species